UUUGCUAUUCUGUACCAUGAGGACUCUGGAAUGUGCUGUAUAUGGAGAUUGGAGGUAGGGUCCUUAUAUGGGGAGUUUCCUUAUAUGUCCAGAGUUUAAAUUAAAACUUAUGAUGUAAUUUUGCCUAUUAAGAACUAAGAACAGUGGACCACGUUCUCUUCUCCUACUCUCCGCUCUCCUCAUCUGGUGUGUCCUGAAUUGAUGAUGGAAAGAACACUACUUAAAAAGAUCUCUCACUCUCUGUAACGGUAAGAAAUACCAUCUGUUAAGUACAUUAUUGUUUGCUUUUGAAG